rnacentral:rRNA from 1 species
UACGGGGGGUGCGAGCGUUGUCCGGAAUCACUGGGCGUAAAGGGCGCGUAGGUGGUUUGAUUAGGGUGUGGUGAAAGUCCGGGGCUCAACCCCGGAUCUGCCGUGCCGACUGUCAAACUCGAGGACUGUAGAGGCAGACGGAAUUCCGGGUGUAGCGGUGAAAUGCGCAGAUAUCAGGAGGAACACCAAUGGCGAAGGCAGCUCGCUGGGACGUGACUGACGCUGAGACGCGAAAGCGUGGGGAGCAAACAGG